UAUCAAGGAACAACGCUAAGUUCGCGACGUCCUGUCGCAACGCCUUGUACCCACAUCCUGUAGG
rnacentral:sRNA from 1 species